UGUCCAAAUUGACUGGGAUGCGUUUUUCUGUUCAUAUCACAGCCAAUUUGGUCAUC
rnacentral:pre_miRNA from 1 species